rnacentral:lncRNA from 1 species
UUUGGUGCUUCAAUCACAAAGGACAAAAGAGAAGUAUUUUUUUUCAGUAAAAGAUCAACCACUAUUAUCAUUAUUUGGUAAUGUUUUCCUUAUCCCCUUUCUCUUGUAAGUUAAUUUUUGCACCAAGAUCUAUUUCUAUUUAAUUACUGUGUCUACUGCCCGAAUUUGCUUCACUUAGAUACUAACGUAAACUUGCGAGUAAUAGUAGCUAUUUUAAUGAUACAUAUUUUAUCGUUCCCACCCGAUGUUUAUAUCAACGCAAAGAACAUCUAAUAUGUUUCUUUACAUAAUCUGUUAGCGCUUACUUAUAUUCGAUCAAAAUGAAUUUUUAGAUGGAAAGUAGACAAAUGCAUAUUAAUUUUGCUAAUUCUUUUGCCGAUCUUAUUUUAUUUGAUUUUUGUGAUAAAUGACAAAUGGUGUUGAUUUUGUGACAGACAAAUAGUGUUGAUUUGUGACAAAGUUUAACAUUGGAAGCACAAGGUAGACUGGUGGUAGUGAUGGUGGCUCUAUCCCUACUUCUUCCAUUGAGGUUUGUCAUUUGGGUAAUUUCAUAAUAAAUGAUAUUUCUGUAUUUUCUACUUUUCUUGAAUUUAUUGGUUGAUACUUUUUGGUAGGAUUGUAUAAGGAUCAUGUUUUAUUUAGGAUACCCAUUAGAAAUAAGCCUUCUGGAGUGUUUUACCUUUCUGAGCAGCUUAAUUUUGAUAAUAAUGAUUGAAAAACCUGAAACUUUACUUUAAGUGCAGUAAAUUGGUUGAUAUGUCGUUUGUAUAUACAAAUUUUGGAGCCAAAUGAAGAUACAUUAUGUACUACUCAAAUGGAAAUACAUUCUCCGCUUAUUUAUCAUCAUUUAAAAUCUUUCAAGGAUCUAUUUAUCUUUCUUCUUAAUUAUUUUGCCUUUGUUCUAUUUUCUAGAUAUAUUAAUUUAUUAUUUAAAAGAAAAAAACUAAUUUGAUAUAUGUCUUCUGUAUACGUGUCCAAUUUAAUAAGUAACCUCUACAUGUGAUCCUUCCUCCAUUUAAACUCAUUAUUUCAUAACUUAAUUACUUCCAUAUUUAUCCGUUUUGAUUGCUCAUUAUUUUGAUUCGCUUCUAAUGUGUUCCUUUAUUGUUCAAGUCUACUGCUUGACUUUUGAGAUUUUGGUUCUCAUAUCCGCGCUUCAAAAGAUUUAUUUUUUGGAUUGACAUUGCUGCAUUCAUUGAUAUGGAUUUAGAAGUUUCACUUUUUUUAUCACUUUUCAACAUGAUCAAAGGGCCAUGAGCCCAUGAGAGUCUCGUAAGGUUUAAUUGAUACAACCUUUUAUUUUCCUUAUUGGUUGGUAUGUAUAUAUUUUGCUGCUUCCUGUAUUUCUUUGUUAGUUUACACCAGCCAAUCAUUACAAAUUUGUGAAUGGAUAUUUUCUAAGAUCUCUACACAGAGUUUUUUGCUCUUUAGUUAUCCUAAUUAUGAGUUUAUGUUUUGAUGUUAAACAAUAAUUUAGAUUUCAUCUUUGGUAUGACUUUGCGUUUAUCUGAUUUUCUUUUUGGUUGUUUAUUUUUUGUAUUUAUAGUUUAAGUUGCGUAACUGUGUAGGAAUGUGUGUUUUAUGCACAUUAGAAUUGGAUAUAUUCAUCAUUAUGCUAUUCAAAUUUGGACCAAAUUUUUGCACUUCAAUUGGUGUUUUAUCUCAUGUGUCUCUGUAUUAAAUUUCUUCUUUUUCACUUUUUAUAUCAGGUUUUGAGAGAGUAUGAGUCGCUAGGGGUACUCCGGUGAAAUGUUUUACUCUUUAUCAUUUUUCAUUCCAUUUGGAUUUCACAGUGUUCGUCUUCAAAUUAGAUAUUUGGUUUUGGCAAGGUAUGAGUUUAAGCAUAUGGAUUUGGGUGAAACUUUUAUAUCUUCUUCUUCUUCUUCUUCUUCCUCCUAACCAUUUGGAUGUCACAAUAUUUUUUUGAGAGUGAUUUGUAAGAGACAAAGAUUGAAAAAAGGAAAACUGAGAUAAUUAUGUUACGUUGUAUGAUUGUUGAAAAGAUAGAAAGUACAAUCAAUAAGAAUUAUCACUCUCUUCACCUUUCCUUCUUAAGGUAAUAAUCUAAAUAAUGACUAACUAUAAAAAAAAAAAAUUGGAUAAAGAAAGGACAAAUGAAAGAAAGAUAUGAAGUGGCGGGGAGGGGAGAGGGGGUGGGUGCAAAAGGAUCCAAAUAAGGUUUCAAAGACAAUAGAUUGGAUACUUAAAGUGGAAAAAUACGUAGGUUUCUUAUGAUGUUUAGCAGUAGUACAUAAGCCUUGAUAGGAACGUAGCAAAACACAUUUUUCAGUCUAUUUCUCAAAACAUUUCACUAACAUCAAAUAACCAAUAAUUUAUUUAUUAUAUCUUUUGGAUUUGCAUUGUAUAUGGUUUUAUUCUCAUCUCGGUGUAUGUUUCCUCCCUUGGUAUUUCGAGCUUAUUUUGACAGUAGCGAGGACGGUGUUGAUAUCUCUAUUUUUAGCCUAUCAAUUUAAUAGCAUGUAAGCUUUUUUUCUAAUCAUAGAUAUCAUGGGUUGCAUGUUAGUUUCCUCGAACAUACUUUUAGAUCUCUGUCACUUAUAUAGCUCUCUACUUUGUUCGCAGCGAGUGAAAAAAAUUAUUAGUAGCUCCAUUUCAUGUUUAAGGUCUAGAAAUUCAAAUGAUCAUUUCAUUGGUGCCUCGUCUAAUGGGUUGGAGUUCAGACUUAUAUUGCUUCCAUGCUAAAAGUGAGAGUUGAAUCCAAAGGUUUAAAGGAUUUCAAGGGAUCAAAAAGCUCGAGUACCUUAUAGCUCCAUGAUUCCUUGCUCUUUUCUUUUUGUUCAAUAUUGUACAAUACUUGAUAAUUAAUAUUAUUCAAGUAUAAAAGGUAAACCUUUAAUAUUCUGACAAGAUAUUCCCUAAAUUAGAUGUGCUGAUCGAGAACUCUUCAUGUUACCUUCUCCAUGUUUUAUUAAUCUUGAAGUUGAAUGUUCUGCACUGAGUAUUAAAGUAGAGAGGAUCUCUUGAUUUUUUGCUCGAUAUUUCGUAACAUAGAGCAUAUUUAUAUUGCAGUCUUACUUGGAUGAUGUUACUGCAACUUAGUAACGAAAUAAGUACUCUUUUUAUGCAGGGCAACAACUGAACAUUCAAAUAAUUACCCUCAAAGCAAUAACAAACUGUGAGACACUCGAGAAAUGGGAAAUAGUCGUGUAGUAAAUAUUACAAAGACCAUAAACAGCUUACAAAAAGUCUAACAAGAAAUAAUGAAGUCUUGUAACUUUUGUUGAAAGAAAAUGCAUAUAUUACCAUUGAAACAAACUUAAAUUAUCAAGUUAGUACUAAAGUGAGGAAGAUGUUUCGAGAAAAGCUUAUAAUCAUCACAUAAUCCAAGCAAAUAUGUAUCAUUAUUUUUUUGAUCAGUGAUUGUAUAUUAUUCUUUAGUUAA